rnacentral:rRNA from 1 species
UACGUAGGGUGCAAGCGUUAAUCGGAAUUACUGGGCGUAAAGCGUGCGCAGGCGGUGAUGUAAGACAGUUGUGAAAUCCCCGGGCUCAACCUGGGAACUGCAUCUGUGACUGCAUCGCUGGAGUGCGGCAGAGGGGGAUGGAAUUCCGCGUGUAGCAGUGAAAUGCGUAGAUAUGCGGAGGAAUACCGGUGGCGAAGGCGGCCCCCUGGACAAAGACUGACGCUCAGGUGCGAAAGCGUGGGGAGCAAACAGG